rnacentral:rRNA from 1 species
AGGACGAACGCUGGCGGCGUGCUUAACACAUGCAAGUCGAGCGGAAAGGCCCUUCGGGGUACUCGAGCGGCGAACGAGUGAGUAACACGUGAGUAAUCUGCCCCUAGCUCUGGGAUAGCUCCGGGAAACCGGGAUUAAUACCAGAUACGACCACUUUAGACAUCUGUUGUGGUGGAAAGAAUUUUGGCUAGGGAUGAGCUCGCGGCCUAUCAGCUUGUUGGUGAGGUAACGGCUCACCAAGGCGACGACGGGUAGCCGGCCUGAGAGGGCGACCGGCCACACUGGGACUGAGACACGGCCCAGACUCCUACGGGAGGCAGCAGUGGGGAAUAUUGCGCAAUGGGCGAAAGCCUGACGCAGCGACGCCGCGUGGGGGAUGAAGGCCUUCGGGUUGUAAACCCCGUUUCAGCAGGGACGAAGCGAAAGUGACGGUACCUGCAGAAGAAGCGCCGGCUAACUACGCGCUAGCAGCCGC